UUAAGCGACUAAGCGUACACGGUGGAUGCCUUGGCAGUCAGAGGCGAUGAAGGACGUGCUAAUCUGCGAUAAGCGUCGGUGAGGUGAUAUGAACCGUUAUAACCGGCGAUUUCCGAAUGGGGAAACCCAGUGUGUUUCGACACACUAUCAUUAACUGAAUCCAUAGGUUAAUGAGGCGAACCGGGGGAACUGAAACAUCUAAGUACCCCGAGGAAAAGAAAUCAACCGAGAUUCCCCCAGUAGCGGCGAGCGAACGGGGAGGAGCCCAGAGCCUGAAUCAGUGUGUGUGUUAGUGGAAGCGUCUGGAAAGGCGUGCGAUACAGGGUGACAGCCCCGUACACAAAAAUGCACAUAUUGUGAGCUCGAUGAGUAGGGCGGGACACGUGGUAUCCUGUCUGAAUAUGGGGGGACCAUCCUCCAAGGCUAAAUACUCCUGACUGACCGAUAGUGAACCAGUACCGUGAGGGAAAGGCGAAAAGAACCCCGGCGAGGGGAGUGAAAAAGAACCUGAAACCGUGUACGUACAAGCAGUGGGAGCCUCUUUAUGGGGUGACUGCGUACCUUUUGUAUAAUGGGUCAGCGACUUAUAUUCUGUAGCAAGGUUAACCGAAUAGGGGAGCCGAAGGGAAACCGAGUCUUAACUGGGCGUUAAGUUGCAGGGUAUAGACCCGAAACCCGGUGAUCUAGCCAUGGGCAGGUUGAAGGUUGGGUAACACUAACUGGAGGACCGAACCGACUAAUGUUGAAAAAUUAGCGGAUGACUUGUGGCUGGGGGUGAAAGGCCAAUCAAACCGGGAGAUAGCUGGUUCUCCCCGAAAGCUAUUUAGGUAGCGCCUCGUGAAUUCAUCUCCGGGGGUAGAGCACUGUUUCGGCAAGGGGGUCAUCCCGACUUACCAACCCGAUGCAAACUGCGAAUACCGGAGAAUGUUAUCACGGGAGACACACGGCGGGUGCUAACGUCCGUCGUGAAGAGGGAAACAACCCAGACCGCCAGCUAAGGUCCCAAAGUCAUGGUUAAGUGGGAAACGAUGUGGGAAGGCCCAGACAGCCAGGAUGUUGGCUUAGAAGCAGCCAUCAUUUAAAGAAAGCGUAAUAGCUCACUGGUCGAGUCGGCCUGCGCGGAAGAUGUAACGGGGCUAAACCAUGCACCGAAGCUGCGGCAGCGACACUAUGUGUUGUUGGGUAGGGGAGCGUUCUGUAAGCCUGUGAAGGUGGCCUGUGAGGGUUGCUGGAGGUAUCAGAAGUGCGAAUGCUGACAUAAGUAACGAUAAAGCGGGUGAAAAGCCCGCUCGCCGGAAGACCAAGGGUUCCUGUCCAACGUUAAUCGGGGCAGGGUGAGUCGACCCCUAAGGCGAGGCCGAAAGGCGUAGUCGAUGGGAAACAGGUUAAUAUUCCUGUACUUGGUGUUACUGCGAAGGGGGGACGGAGAAGGCUAUGUUGGCCGGGCGACGGUUGUCCCGGUUUAAGCGUGUAGGCUGGUUUUCCAGGCAAAUCCGGAAAACCAAGGCUGAGGCGUGAUGACGAGGCACUACGGUGCUGAAGCGACAAAUGCCCUGCUUCCAGGAAAAGCCUCUAAGCAUCAGGUAACAUCAAAUCGUACCCCAAACCGACACAGGUGGUCAGGUAGAGAAUACCAAGGCGCUUGAGAGAACUCGGGUGAAGGAACUAGGCAAAAUGGUGCCGUAACUUCGGGAGAAGGCACGCUGAUAUGUAGGUGAAGCGACUUGCUCGUGGAGCUGAAAUCAGUCGAAGAUACCAGCUGGCUGCAACUGUUUAUUAAAAACACAGCACUGUGCAAACACGAAAGUGGACGUAUACGGUGUGACGCCUGCCCGGUGCCGGAAGGUUAAUUGAUGGGGUUAGCGGUAACGCGAAGCUCUUGAUCGAAGCCCCGGUAAACGGCGGCCGUAACUAUAACGGUCCUAAGGUAGCGAAAUUCCUUGUCGGGUAAGUUCCGACCUGCACGAAUGGCGUAAUGAUGGCCAGGCUGUCUCCACCCGAGACUCAGUGAAAUUGAACUCGCUGUGAAGAUGCAGUGUACCCGCGGCAAGACGGAAAGACCCCGUGAACCUUUACUAUAGCUUGACACUGAACAUUGAGCCUUGAUGUGUAGGAUAGGUGGGAGGCUUUGAAGUGUGGACGCCAGUCUGCAUGGAGCCGACCUUGAAAUACCACCCUUUAAUGUUUGAUGUUCUAACGUUGGCCCGUAAUCCGGGUUGCGGACAGUGUCUGGUGGGUAGUUUGACUGGGGCGGUCUCCUCCUAAAGAGUAACGGAGGAGCACGAAGGUUGGCUAAUCCUGGUCGGACAUCAGGAGGUUAGUGCAAUGGCAUAAGCCAGCUUGACUGCGAGCGUGACGGCGCGAGCAGGUGCGAAAGCAGGUCAUAGUGAUCCGGUGGUUCUGAAUGGAAGGGCCAUCGCUCAACGGAUAAAAGGUACUCCGGGGAUAACAGGCUGAUACCGCCCAAGAGUUCAUAUCGACGGCGGUGUUUGGCACCUCGAUGUCGGCUCAUCACAUCCUGGGGCUGAAGUAGGUCCCAAGGGUAUGGCUGUUCGCCAUUUAAAGUGGUACGCGAGCUGGGUUUAGAACGUCGUGAGACAGUUCGGUCCCUAUCUGCCGUGGGCGCUGGAGAACUGAGGGGGGCUGCUCCUAGUACGAGAGGACCGGAGUGGACGCAUCACUGGUGUUCGGGUUGUCAUGCCAAUGGCACUGCCCGGUAGCUAAAUGCGGAAGAGAUAAGUGCUGAAAGCAUCUAAGCACGAAACUUGCCCCGAGAUGAGUUCUCCCUGAGACCUAGAGUCUCCUGAAGGAACGUUGAAGACGACGACGUUGAUAGGCCGGGUGUGUAAGCGCAGCGAUGCGUUGAGCUAACCGGUACUAAUGAACCGUGAGGCUUAACCUU
rnacentral:rRNA from 2 species